UUAGAAUGGUGGUAGUUGUUACCAAACAAACCAAAAAGAACAAAACCGUCACGUAGCAGAAGAGGAAAAUAAGAACUAAGGGUUUGGUGCUAGCAGUCUGGAUUUUGAAGGUUGCAGUGUUAGAGGUUGCAGUUUACCGAUCGAAUUUUCGAGCUCCGUUCAAUCCAAAAGUAACGAGGAGUAAAGAUUUAGUAGCUUUUGGCUGUCCUUGCUCUGAUACGUAGCACUCGGGGAAACGAACGCUUGUUUUGAUUUAUGUUGUUAUUUCUUUUAAAUUUGAAUUCGGUUGUUAUUUUGAGAAUUUUGUUGUUGAUUUAAGUUGUUGAAAGAUGCUAUGAUUGCUCACAGUUUUAAGUUGAUUUGUUUUCCGAUGCAGUUACUUAAUUAAAGUUGAAUUAUUGAAGA